rnacentral:lncRNA from 1 species
GAAACCAAAGGAAAAAAAAAAAAAGAGUAAAAGAAGUAAGAAAGGGAAAAAACGUUAAAAGGAAGAGAGAGAAAGAGGAGUGUCCCCUUUUUCUGAAAGUGAUCCACUUGGCAAAAUAUAAAUGGGCCUCAUACAACUCUUGUCUGCCACAUCAUACUUGUGCCUCAUCCAUGAUAAAAUUUUUCAAGAAAAUCACUUCAUACAACUAGCAUGGGAAAUCGUCACAUGACUUGAUCUCGAAACAGUUCAUGAAUAUCGCAUGAAUUACAUGAACUGAAUACCUCAAUAGUGAGACCAUAAGUACCACAUCAACUCUUGAACAAACAAGUAGGAGUACAAUUCGAAGACUUUGAAGAGGAAGCACAUGCCUUAUUUGAAUAAUAUAGAAGAAAUAUGCAAGAAAAAAGAAGGCCAAACACAUACACAACCCCUCAAACUUGGCCCCAUUUUUCAUUUUUGGCACUCCAAUUUAGCCUUGUUCCAUUUUAACCUUUGAACUCCAUUUUUCUGUUCCAUUUUAACACAAAAUACUAUUUUUAUGAUUUCUUUAUUUUAUAUAUAUUCUUCAAAUGCAACUUCUUAUUUUAAAUCGACAUGUGUCAGUUAAUUUUAGUUAAAAAAAUUAAAAAUUAACAAAAAAUAAUUCUUUUUAAAAAAUAAUAAUUUCUUUUUAAGAGUGUUAUGUAUUUUUGUGUGAAAAAUAACCGACGAAAUUGUGUUGGUUUUCUUUCUUAAAAUCACCGACAACCUAAUAAAGUCAGUUGAGUUUUAACAUUUUUUAGUAGUGUUAUUAGCAAUGAACAAGAGUGUUUUUUUACUCGUAUUGAAGAUGAGUUUUUUUUAUUCGUAUUGAUUUAUAUUAAAAAUUAAAAGUGAGUAUUUGGGUUAAAUUUAGAUAGCCUAGAUGAUAAGAAAAAAUAAAUAAGUAGUGUUAUUUAAUUUAAUUGAAUGUUUAAGAAAGAAAAUCAAAGAACUUUCGUCAAUUUAUUUUCAUGCAAAAUACAGAGAAAUCUCAAAAAAUAAUAUUAUUGUUUGAAAAUUUUAUGUUCGUUCGCAAAUGUUUAAUUUUUUUAUGAAAAUUAACAGGCACACAUCUAUUUUUUUAAAAUUUUUGUUAAUUUUUAAUUUUUUUUAAAUAAAAUUAACUAACACGUGUCGAUUUAAAAUAAGAAAUUGCAUUUAAAGAAUAUAUAUAAAAUAAAGAAAUCAUAAAAAUAGUAUUUCGUGUUAAAAUGGAACAGAAAAAAUGGAGUUCAAGGGUUAAAAUGGAACAAGGCUAAGAUAAAGUGCCAAAAUGAAAAAUGUGGACAAGUUAGAAGGGUUGUAUAUGUGUUUGGCCAUAUAUAUAAUUAGAAGGUAUAUAAUUUAAAUUUAUAAAAUUAACUUGAUCGAUAAAUUAAAUUUAUUAAAUUAAAUUUUUGUUGAUGUGUAGUUAAAUUAUAUAUAUAUAUAUAUAUCGAUCAAGUUAAUUUUAUAAAUUUAAAUUAUAUACCUUCUAAUUAUAUAAAUUUAAUUUUAUUGAUCAACAAAAGUUUAUCAAUAUCAAAUUUAAUAUAUAAAUCUCCUUGAAUUGAUCAUCGGUAUUUCUUUAAUUGAUAAUGUAUUUCAUAUCUAAACCACUAGUAUAUAAGACUUGAUUUGUUAAACUACUCGAGGAAUAUAUAUAUAUAAUUAAUCAACGUAUUUCAUACUCCGAUGAAGUAUCCUUUACAUGUCAUCAUAAUUAGGAGGUGAUCACUACACUUGACAUCCAUUCAAGAUCGAACGUAUAUAAUAAUACUACUCGCAUUUCAUACUGGAAUGGAUUAUAGGUUAGCUCUUCACCUCUACUACAUCAUGACAUGAAAGAAAUACAAUUUAUAUAAGUUUGUGAACACAAAGAAAACGGAGAUUUAGGGAGCUAAGGAAGUUGGAAUUCAAUGUAGUACAUUGGAAUCUUGAAGCACCACCAUGAACGCUCUUGCACAUCUUCCUAUGGCGCAGUAAGGCACCAUCUUGAGCUAGGAUCGAACUCUCCAUGUGAUUCACAUUUGCUAAAGUUUUUUUGAAAAAACAAGUAUUUUUGGUCAGUUUCAUUGUUAAAUAGGCUCAUGCUUUUAGAGCCACUCG